CCUACGGGAGGCAGCAGUGAGGAAUAUUGGUCAAUGGGCGAGAGCCUGAACCAGCCAAGUCGCGUGAAGGAUGACGGCCCUACGGGUUGUAAACUUCUUUUGUCAGGGAGCAAUUGGGUCCACGCGUGGGCUUAGCGAGAGUACCUGAAGAAAAAGCAUCGGCUAACUCCGUGCCAGCAGCCGCGGUAAUACGGAGGAUGCGAGCGUUAUCCGGAUUUAUUGGGUUUAAAGGGUGCGUAGGCGGAAUAUCAAGUUAGGUGUGAAAGCCCGCGGGUCAACCGCGGAAUUGCAGAUAAAACUGGUAAGCUGGAGUGCAGGAGAGGUAAGCGGAAUGCGCGGUGUAGCGGUGAAAUGCGUAGAUAUUAGGAGGAACUCCAGUGGCGAAGGCAGCUUACUGGACUGUAACUGACGUUGAGGCACGAAAGCGUGGGGAGCAAACAGGAUUAGAUACCCCAGUAGUC
rnacentral:rRNA from 1 species